rnacentral:misc_RNA from 1 species
GAUGAAGAACGCAGCGAAAUGCGAUAAGUAAUGCGAAUUGCAGAAUUCAGUGAAUCAUCGAAUCUUUGAACGCACAUUGCGCCCGUUAGCAUUCUAGCGGGCAUGCCUGUCCGAGCGUCAUUUCAACCCUCAGGGUCCCCGUUCCGGCGGGGAACCUGGUGUUGGGGAUCGGCCCGCCCCGUGCGGCGCCGUCCCCCAAAUUCAGUGGCGGUCUCGCUGCAGCCUCCCCUGCGUAGUAGUUACAACCUCGCAUCGGAGCUCAGCGCGGCCACGCCGUAAAACCCCCGACUUUCUGAACGUUGACCUCGGAUCAGGUAGGAAUACCCGCUGAACUUAAGCAUAUCAAUAAGCGGAGGA